UCCAAGACCCUAGUGGAUGCCUGAAACUGCAGUAGUAUCAAGCCCUGAACGUACUGCUUUUCCUAUGCAUACAUGCCUAUGACAAAGUUUAAUUUAUAAAUUAGGCACAGUAAGAGAUGUACAACAAUUAAUAGGAUAAUUAUAACAAUACAUUGUCAUAAAUGUUAUGUGAAUGUCGUCUCCUUUUCUCUCAAAAUAUGUCAUUGUACAGUACUCACCUAUUUUUGCACCUCAGUUGACCUUGGGUAACUGAAACCGUGGACACGGAGGCUGUGGACGAGGGGAACUACUGCAUGUCUGUGCAUAUAAAAAGCAAGAUGCUGCUUCCUUGUCCCCUGAAGUCAGGCGUGGCCAUGUGACUUGCUUUGGCCAAUGAAAGGUGGACAGAAGAGAUGUGUGUUACUUCCAAGUGGAUCCUCUUAGGAACUGGUGCGCAAUUUGCCAGGCCUCCCCACUGCUGCAGCAACUGUGGGGAGCGUAGGUGGUGGAGGCCCCAAGCAGCCUGGGUCCUGAGUGGGGACGGCGUGGAGGAGAGCCUCGUGUCAGCCCGUGGUGGCCUUGUAGACCGAGCAAGAAAGAAGCCAUUGAUGCUGUCGUGUUGUGGGACUUCUGAAAAGCAGGGUUCCAAAUGGGGUUAGAGGGGCAAGAGAUCUGUGGAGGGAAAUGCCCGUGAUGGACGAAGAGGCGGAGUAGGCGUGGAGAGCCUCGGACCACACGGAAGCCUGGCGCCCGUGAGAGGACAGGAGGAAUGGAGGCGAAUUGGGCAGGAAGAGUCUCAGACUGCACCAUGGUUCUAAGAAACUUUCAGGUCAAAAACAGGCAGAAUGGAUCUGUGGUGACAGAGGCCAGCACGGUGGUCGUCUCUGGGUGGAGGAUGGACUGGGAGCAGGCCCCACCGAGCCUUCCAGUGGCUGGAAAUGCUGUUUCUCUAGGUCUGGGUGAUGAUCAAACAGAUGUCAAGAUUAGAGUGUCCUGGAGUAUCGGGUGGGCCCUGAAGCCACCAUCAGUGUCCUUAUAAGAGACAGAAGAGGAGAAGGCCACGUGAAAACACAGGCAGAGAUUGGAGUUCUGCAGCCACAAGCCAAGGAACAUUGGGGCCACCAGCAGCUGGAAGAGGUGAGGAAGUUUCCUCUGCACCCCCAGAGCCUUUGGAGGGAACACAGCCUGCCCACAGCUUAAUUUUGGACUUCUGGCCUCCACAAUUGUGAGCGAAUAAAUUCCUAUUUUUUAAACAACUAAGUUUGUGGUAAAUUGUUAAUGCAGCCCUGGGAAAUUAACAUAGUUCCCUAUCCUGUGCCUGACUAGGUUUCUGGGGGUGCUCAGUCCUGAGUCUACCCAACUAGCCCUCACUGGGGCCAGGAGGGGAGUUCCAAGUCUGGCCAAAAGGUACCUUUUUUUAACUCACUGCCCUGCCCCCUCCCAGGUUGAGGUUUAACCCUUUCACUUGUACUGGGGGGUGGGGAGCGGUGCAGGGAGGAGGGUAGCAAGAUUAACAGCAUCCUCUGCUCCGCAGAGAGUCCGAAAGAGUAUUUCAAGCCCAUACCCCCUUCCUCCUCCGCACUCGGGCCGCAGCGCCCACUCCAGGCUGGUUGAGAUUGCCAGAGUUGACCCAGAGCACGUUACUAAAAGCGAGGAGCUUUUUAAAAACAGGGAGUCUGUCUGCCUUUCCCAAUUUCUCCUCACAAACAUCACCCCCUCUUCACAGCGAUCCUCUCCCCAUGUCUCGAGUCUACCUUCUUCCUUCCCUUUUCCAUUCUUGGGGGGUAAGCUAAGACAGACACCCCCCCAGCACAGGAUGGAAGGCCCUCUCCCACCCCUCCUUCCUCCUCCCCUCAACACAGCUGGAGGGGGGAG